CGAGUCUUAACUGGGCGUUAAGUUGCAGGGUAUAGACCCGAAACCCGGUGAUCUAGCCAUGGGCAGGUUGAAGGUUGGGUAACACUAACUGGAGGACCGAACCGACUAAUGUUGAAAAAUUAGCGGAUGACCUGUGGCUGGGGGUGAAAGGCCAAUCAAACCGGGAGAUAGCUGGUUCUCCCCGAAAGCUAUUUAGGUAGCGCCUCGUGAACUCAUCUUCGGGGGUAGAGCACUGUUUCGGCUAGGGGGCCAUCCCGGCUUACCAACCCGAUGCAAACUACGAAUACCGAAGAAUGUUAUCACGGGAGACACACGGCGGGUGCUAACGUCCGUCGUGAAGAGGGAAACAACCCAGACCGCCAGCUAAGGUCCCAAAGUCAUGGUUAAGUGGGAAACGAUGUGGGAAGGCACAGACAGCCAGGAUGUUGGCUUAGAAGCAGCCAUCAUUUAAAGAAAGCGUAAUAGCUCACUGGUCGAGUCGGCCUGCGCGGAAGAUGUAACGGGGCUAAACCAUGCACCGAAGCUGCGGCAGCGACGCUUAUGCGUUGUUGGGUAGGGGAGCGUUCUGUAAGCCGUUGAAGGUGGCCUGUGAGGGUUGCUGGAGGUAUCAGAAGUGCGAAUGCUGACAUAAGUAACGAUAAAGCGGGUGAAAAGCCCGCUCGCCGGAAGACCAAGGGUUCCUGUCCAACGUUAAUCGGGGCAGGGUGAGUCGACCCCUAAGGCGAGGCCGAAAGGCGUAGUCGAUGGGAAACAGGUUAAUAUUCCUGUACUUGGUGUUACUGCGAAGGGGGGACGGAGAAGGCUAUGUUAGCCGGGCGACGGUUGUCCCGGUUUAAGCAUGUAGGCGGAGGUUC
rnacentral:rRNA from 1 species